UACAGAGGUCUCAAGCGUUGUUCGGAUUCAUUGGGCGUAAAGGGUGCGUAGGUGGCGCCCGGUAAGUCGGGUGUGAAAUCUCGGGGCUUAACUCCGAAACUGCAUUCGAUACGUGCCGGUGCUUGAGGACUGGAGGAGGAGACGUGGAAUUUACGGUGUAGCGGUGAAAUGCGUAGAUAUCGUAAGGAAGACCAGUGGCGAA
rnacentral:rRNA from 1 species